ACGAACGCUGGCGGCGUGCUUAACACCUGCAAGUCGAACGGAAAGGCCCUGCUUUUGUGGGGUGCUCGAGUGGCGAACGGGUGAGUAACACGUGAGUAGCCUGCCCUUGACUUUGGGAUAACUUCAGGAAACUGGGGCUAAUACCGGAUAGGAGCUCCUGCUGCAUGGUGGGGGUUGGAAAGUUUCGGCGGUUGGGGAUGGACUCGCGGCUUAUCAGCUUGUUGGUGGGGUAGUGGCUUACCAAGGCUUUGACGGGUAGCCGGCCUGAGAGGGUGACCGGCCACAUUGGGACUGAGAUACGGCCCAGACUCCUACGGGAGGCAGCAGUGGGGAAUAUUGCACAAUGGGCGGAAGCCUGAUGCAGCAACGCCGCGUGCGGGAUGACGGCCUUCGGGUUGUAAACCGCUUUCGCCUGUGACGAAGCGUGAGUGACGGUAAUGGGUAAAGAAGCACCGGCUAACUACGUG
rnacentral:rRNA from 1 species